GGGGGCGUAAGGAUUCGACGAGGGUUGUAGAGGCAGGAGCGGCAGGCCCAGGACCAUGGCCUGGAUAAAACAUGGAAGGCAAAUAAACGCCAACAAACAACAACUCGCCUACGCUGCUUAAUAUAAAGCGGCGCGUCUCUUUUCCGCCCUGGCCGGAGGCGGGGAACGGGGCGUCAACCAAUCCGGCCUACCGCUUGAACGGCGGCCCCGCCGCUUAAGCGGGAAAGCAACGGGGCUGGCGGCUUCCGGAUUCCGCUCCGGGAAGCCGGAGCCGCGAGAUACAAAACCGGAGCUAAGCCUGUAGAAGUUCCUGUAGCUUGGCCUUCGGACGCGGGUUCGAUUCCCGCCGCCUCCACCA
rnacentral:tmRNA from 1 species